rnacentral:lncRNA from 13 species
UCACAUUGACACCUCAAGCUACAAAUUAGCUGUAUAACACAACCCCAUUAACUUCACACUGUUGUCUUCACAGAACAUACAGAAGCAAACGUAUAUGCAGGUAUACCUGGCUGCCACCUCCUGCUGCUGAGCUGGGACUCCUCAAGUUGAUCAUGAAGCUGCAGCUCUUGGAACAAGGAAUGCCACUUCUGCAGUAUCAUGAUCUCUUGCAGCCACCACAACAAAUAAGCAGCAACUCUUUGAUGCAGAAGCUGAGGAGUGAAUGUUCCAAGUCCAAAGGGUGAUCCAGGACUUUUAAAGAUGUCUUUUUUUUUUUUUCUUUCUUUCUUUUUUUCUCCUUUUUUCUUUUUUUUGGAUCAAAUAAAAAUCAGUUCUUCAUUUAAAUGAUCUUAACCAUUAUGUGAGUAGGAAGCUGCCUUCCAUAGUCAGCAUCGUGAGGGAGAAUCCUGAUAAUUCAUUUAUUCCAUAAUAAUAGUGGGGUAGCUUUAAGGUUUUUACCAUCUGUGCUAUUAUGGGAAGGGGGAACAAAGCCAAUACAAAUUUAACCUUCAGAUUUAUGCUUCUGUGCUUCUCCAUUGUGCCUCUAAAAUUCUUCAGAAAAAAUCCUUAACCACUUCAGUACUGUAUGAUAAGAAAAACUACAGCUUCCAGAAUCCACUUUUAUUUGAAAUCUGGAGAAUUUAAUUUAAUUUUAAAUCUGCAUGUUUUCAUUUAAUUUUGGACUCUAAUAACAAGUACUCAAGGCAAGAGAUAUAUUUAGUGAGUGUUAAGUUUGAUUGCAUCUAUUUGUCUGUGUGCCCAAAAUAUCCAAACCUAGCAUUAAGUGGUGUAUCUGUCUUCAAAUCUUUAUCUCCUUGAAAGUAAUCUCACAGUUUUACAGAAUGUACAAAUAUAAAAAGCUCAUUUAUGCCUAAGGCUUUACAAGGACAAAACUCUUGUUGAAGUGGGAGUGGGGACCUGACACAAAAGGAUACUGCUAGCACAGUUACAUGCCAAGAUUUAGGAUAAAAAAAGUUUAUUGAUGUGUAGGUUCAUCUGGCUUUAUGGACUGAUGAUCUAAGAGAAACCAGAAUAUCUGAAAGUUGGUAUGCUACCCUGGAGACAAGAGUGAGUUUAUUAGGCAAAAAUCAAAAUGUAACUGCAUCCAAAAAGGGUCAGUAACUGAUUCACCCAGCCUUUGACUGGGAAGGACUGAGUUUCCUUAGCGCAUGGUAAAUUCAUUAAAGACUCAAGGUUAAAAUUCAAAACUGGCUGCAAAGUUUGGGACAGGCUCUAGAGAACUGGUUAUUGUUGUGAGAGCCAGGGAUAGAGUAAUAUGAGAACUUCGCUUCUUUUCUUUUCUUUUAUCCAGGCCCCUGUCAGGCCAUGGAAACAACACAUAUUUUACUGCAUCUGAGCACUUGAUAAUACACUACAUACAAUACAUACAAUGUUUAACCAUUGCUGGUUUUUGGUGAGCUUGCCCCAGAAAAUGGGGUCAUUAGGGGCAAAAUUCUCUUCACGCUCUGGAUUGGCUAAAAAUUUGAAAUUAAACUGACCAUCCACUAAUUUUCUGCAGGAGAUUGAGUUUAGAGUUCAGUUUAACAUGCUACAAUGUACUUGGUAGAAGAAACUUUACAGCAGAGUGAAAAAGGAUGUUUUUCUUAUUGACCUACUUACUGAUGGGCAGAAUGGGAUUCUCUGGCCACAUUCCAUGGUGGGGCAUGGAGUCUGUCCCACACAAAAAACCAGCACUGUGGGAACA